GUGCUGACGAGUGGCGAACGGGUGAGUAAUGCAUCGGAACGUGCCCAGUCGUGGGGGAUAACUGCUCGAAAGAGCAGCUAAUACCGCAUACGACCUGAGGGUGAAAGCGGGGGACCGUAAGGCCUCGCGCGAUUGGAGCGGCCGAUGUCAGAUUAGCUAGUUGGUGGGGUAAAGGCCUACCAAGGCAACGAUCUGUAGUUGGUCUGAGAGGACGACCAGCCACACUGGGACUGAGACACGGCCCAGACUCCUACGGGAGGCAGCAGUGGGGAAUUUUGGACAAUGGGCGCAAGCCUGAUCCAGCAAUGCCGCGUGCAGGAAGAAGGCCUUCGGGUUGUAAACUGCUUUUGUCAGGGAAGAAAUCUUCUGGGCUAAUACCCCGGGAGGAUGACGGUACCUGAAGAAUAAGCACCGGCUAACUACGUGCCAGCAGCCGCGGUAAUACGUAGGGUGCGAGCGUUAAUCGGAAUUACUGGGCGUAAAGCGUGCGCAGGCGGUUAUGUAAGACAGAUGUGAAAUCCCCGGGCUCAACCUGGGAACUGCAUUUGUGACUGCAUGACUGGAGUGCGGCAGAGGGGGAUGGAAUUCCGCGUGUAGCAGUGAAAUGC
rnacentral:rRNA from 1 species